UUGACCUCGGAUCAGGUAGGGAUACCCGCUGAACUUAAGCAUAUCAAUAAGCGGAGGAAAAGAAACCAACAGGGAUUGCCUCAGUAACGGCGAGUGAAGCGGCAAGAGCUCAAAUUUGAAAGCUGGCCCCCUCGGGGUCCGCAUUGUAAUUUGCAGAGGAUGCUUCGGGAGUGGCCCCCAUCUAAGUGCUCUGGAACGGGCCGUCAUAGAGGGUGAGAAUCCCGUAUGGGAUGGGGUGUCCGCGACCAUGUGAAGCUCCUUCGACGAGUCGAGUUGUUUGGGAAUGCAGCUCUAAAUGGGUGGUAAAUUUCAUCUAAAGCUAAAUAUUGGCCGGAGACCGAUAGCGCACAAGUAGAGUGAUCGAAAGAUGAAAAGCACUUUGAAAAGAGAGUUAAAAAGCACGUGAAAUUGUUGAAAGGGAAGCGCUUGCGACCAGACUCGCCUGCGGGGUUCAGCCGGUAUUCGUACCGGUGUACUUCCCCGUGGGCGGGCCAGCGUCGGUUUGGGCGGCCGGUCAAAGGCCCUCGGAAUGUAACGCCUCUCGGGGCGUCUUAUAGCCGAGGGUGCCAUGCGGCCAGCCCGGACCGAGGAACGCGCUUCGGCACGGACGCUGGCAUAAUGGUCGUAAGCGACC
rnacentral:rRNA from 1 species